rnacentral:rRNA from 2 species
GGGGGGAGCAAGCGUUGUUCGGAUUUACUGGGCGUAAAGGGCGCGUAGGCGGCGUAACAAGUCACUUGUGAAAUCUCCGGGCUUAACCCGGAGCGGCCAAGUGAUACUGUUGUGCUAGAGUGCGGAAGGGGCUACUGGAAUUCUCGGUGUAGCGGUGAAAUGCGUAGAUAUCGAGAGGAACACCUGCGGCGAAGGCGGGUAGCUGGGCCGACACUGACGCUGAGGCGCGAAAGCCAGGGGAGCGAACGGGAUUAGAUACCCCGGUAGUCCUGGCCUUAAACGAUGGAUACUUGGUGUCCGGGGUUACAUAGUCCCCGGGUGCCGGCGCUAACGCAUUAAGUAUCCCGCCUGGGGAGUACGGUCGCAAGACUG